rnacentral:sRNA from 1 species
UUUAUUCCUUAUCUGUUUCUAAUCAGUUGAGUUAUCUGGAGCCUGUCUUCUUACACUCUGAACCUGCGAUGGAAAAAAGCGCAGGAAGACAGGCCCUUCGUCUUGGUUAUCGCAUACAGAACCCCA